rnacentral:rRNA from 1 species
UUGCGACAGGGUCACACCCGGCUCCAUGCCGAACCCGGAAGUUAAGCCUGUCAGCGCCGAUGGUACUAUAUGGGGUACAUAUGGGAGAGUAGGUCUUUGCC